AGUGAUCCACCUGCCUCGGACUCCCAGUUUGGGAUUACAGGUGUCGGCCACUGCACCCAGCCUCAUUCCUCACUUUGAGCCCUCCUGGUGGUGCUGGAUGUCUAGAAAGAGAAACUGAGACACAUAAAAGGGCAGAAAUGACUCAUUGGUGACACACUAUGGAGUCCCACCCACAACCAGCACACUUUGACCCACUCCACUAAACCUUAAGGCACAGCUCAGUUCCUCCUUUUCAGAAAAAAUGUGGGAAACAAAUAAUCUAGGAAUGAAAAAACACAAGGAGAGUGGCCUCUCUCAGGCACCCUGUUUGGUUUUAUGACCCCUCUACUUGAAAGUGGUUGUGUAAUGGAAGAGCAUGCCACGUUUUCUAAUACUGCAGCUGGUUACACAUUAGAGGUCUGUUCUUGUGCACAUUUUAAACUGAUGAGCAAAUUACAUCAAGAAAAAUGCAGAGCCCGAAGGUCAAUCUGCAACUAUAAAGUUCCUAAGUUCUCUAUCUCUCUGCUUUUUUUUCAGCCUGCUUUAAGUCUGCUGUUACUUUUCCACUGAGAUAAAAUCCACUGUUUGCAUCCAACCAUCUCUUUUUGCUAUUGUUUGCAAACUGGAAACCAAAAUUAUGGUAUUCUCAAAACCAGAGAUGCCAACCUCUCUCAUUUGGCAUCCUGUUAACCAGUGGAAGAGAUCCAAGUUAACCGGCGGCAAAUCUGUACAGGUCCACAGCAACUUGAGUCCUUGCUUCUUCACAAGAAAGAAUCUGACUGAGGGGCAUAAAGCAGAAAAAGAGACCAAGGCAAGUUCCAGAGCAGGAAUGGAAGUUUAUUUGAAAAGGUCUUAGAACAGGAAA